CACUUGCGGCAUAUGGAAGUUCCCAGGCUGGGGGUCAGAGCUACAGCUACCGGCCUAUGCUACAGCCACAGCAAUGCCGCAAUGCUGGAUUUCCCAACCCACUGAGCAAGGCCAGGGAUCGAACCCACAUCAUCACGGAUACCAGCUGGAUGCGUUUCCAUUCCUCCACAGCACUUCUGAACGAUGCCUAGGUGAUUUCCUCUUGCUGGCAAAAAAACUAGACGCAAGAACACUGGGCGAUUGUCUUGUCUUUUCAGUUUCUCUAGGGAGAGACAACUCUGCCUUCUAAAGAAAGUGAUAAUGCAAAGAAGGAAGAAGAGGCUGAAAAUCCCAGGCAGCUAAGAAAAGUAACAAAUGUCUCCUACAAAGAAAUACAUUAAACACCUACCGGAGGAAGUCAGGCUACUUGGCCAACAUCAAGUAAUCUGGUGCUUGGCAGGACAGUAACUCAAACUGGAGUCACGCUGAGGCCAUGCCCAGGUCCACCACCACCAAUAUCCACCUCUCAACUCUUCCUCUUGCUCCUCACAACCAGAGGGCAAAGGACUGAAUGAACAUCCUCAGUCUGGAUCAUCAUAAAGCUAAAUAAGGAGUACUGAUCAAUCCAGAUUUAAGUGCUAAGGUUUUCCUCUGAGAUGCAGAUAUGUGGCCCAAGAAGAAGAGCCCAGCCUUCCCACCAGAAGGAAACUCUCGGUUCCACGAAAGCAGGUUUUGCAAAAUAUUCAGUUCCACUCUUGAGAUGUAAGCAAACCCUUGUCACAUCCCUAUGCUAAGUCCAAAACCCAAAUCUUAAUUUCCGUUGUGGGAAUAAGGAGUGGUCCGUAUGAGAAUAAAAUAUACUACUGACCAAAGGGAAGGGGAGGAAAAGGGAGUCUAAUUUGGACAUUGCUAAAAUAAAACCGGGGAGCAAGGCCCACAGCUGCCUCCCCAGGAAGUCCUAUUAACGCAGACAAUGGCCCAAUUGUUCUCCCUGCCUAAAGAAACUUUGCAGCCUCCAACCUGGGGGCCACUCACUGUCUUUUUCUAUUUCUUUCCUUGAAACACAAUUUAUUGGAAAUACUGCCAGAUCUCCAGGGGGAAACAAAAGGCUGGCAGUAAAAUGAAACACCUAAUUAACAAGGGGAACGGCUCCACUGUUGCCAGAGAACUUUCUGCAAGACUCGGGGCUCCUUGAGGAAAGAGGUUAGGGGAGGGGGUCCCAGGGAGCACGGGACAGCUAUGAUUGUGCACACCAUGGUGGCAGAAGGUAGCAUAGAGUAGUGGUAAUGAGCGUUGGCUUUGGUGUCAGGCUGCCUGCGUUCAAAUCCCACCAUUGCCACUUACUUGGACAAAUGGCAUAACCUCUCUGGGCCUAUAAAAGGUGGGUAAUUGUAGUCCUUCCUAAGGUUAUUGUAAAAGUCAAGCAAGUUAAUUAUUUGAAGUGGUUGGAAAAGCAUACCUAAGACUGUUGGCGAAGUUCUAGCUAUUACGGCUAAAUGUUAGCUAAGUCCACUGUUACACACAUCACCUCACUUUAGUCCUGCAACAACUCUGGGGGAGGGAUCGUUACACCCAACUCACAGGGUUGGUGGUGAAAUGGAAAGUUGAGCUCUCUGCCACCUCGGCAGAGGUAGGCCCACAAUCCACAGUUGCACAAUUUUAGAUAUAUUUCCAGAAUAUCAUGCUGCCGGAAUUCCCGUCGUGACUCAGUGGUUAAUGAAUCUGACUAGGAACCAUGAGGUUGCGGGUUUGAUCCCUGGCCUUGCUCAGUGGGUUAAGGAUCUGGCAUUGCCGUGCGCUGUGGUGUAGGUCGCAGACGCGGCUCAGAUCUGGCGUUGCUGUGGCUCUGUCGUAGGCUGGCAGCGACAGCUCCAAUUAGACCCCUAGCCUAGGAACCUCCAUAGGCCAUGGGUGCAGCCCUAGAAAAGACAAAAAAAAAAAAGAAUAUCAUGCUGCCCACUUCCUCUGCAAGAAGGAUUUCUCGUCACUGUGUCCAUCGGCAGCCUCAGAGGUGUCACUGGCCCCAGAGUCCCCUGCGCCUGUGCUGGUGGACAAAUACCCACCACCAGGACGGUGGAGAGAGGGCCUGGGGACAAGUAACCCACCGCAGACAGUAUCUGGACUGUUCGAGUUCAAGAGAGGAGAUUAAAGAGGGUGGACAAGAGAAACACAAGAGAGAAAGAACAGGGUGAGAGAGGGGAACCAUCAGCUCCAUUUGUGUGCAUUUAUGUUUGUUUUUACAUCUGUGUCCAGCCUUGAUUUUUGGGGUUGACACAGCAGGAGAAAAUGGAGUCUCACUUGGGGAGGCACGUUUCUAAUGAGUCUCCUUGAAGUCUCAGCCCCGUGACUUUUUCUACUCAUAUUUAUCAUUUUUCAAAACAGUAUAAGGCCUUGGCAACCAGCCUACUUCUUUCUCCAGCACUCCCCCCAACACCUGCCUUCUGCAGAAAACCAUCAGGUAGAGCAUCUGACAAAAUGCUUUUGCAUCGUUAAGUGUUCAACCUUCUAAGAUGGUUCCAGGACCAGCAGGGCACUGGUUCCCAGUGGAUGGAUUGCAUGGCCAAAAGCAGCCGCUCCCCUGGGGUUUGAGAAGAAUGCAUUUGUGCAACCCUUUUCCCUUCCUUCCUCUCCUUCCCACUAGGAAGCCCUCUCCUCUGCCAAGCUGGCCAAGCCUGCAGGCCUGUCGCAUUUGCGUGUGUGUUUGUGUGGAUAUGUGAGUGUCUUCCCACUGGGAAGCUGGUACAUCAAGUCCCACCCCAAACCCCACCCCCAGCCCCAAAUUAAAACAAGCUGGUUGCAAUUGCGAGCCAGCCCAGCUCACACCAGCUGCUCGCGGCUUCAGAAAAUGCUGUUUCAUGUUCAGAGGCAAAUGACUAUUUCCUCUCCAGAGCGUGCCUGAACUGUGUUCCAAUCUGAAUGGGGAGGAGAAGAGAACAGAGGCUCUGCAAAUGCAUGUGGCCAGGGCUGUCAGGAUGGAUUAUGCUGCCCGGAAGCUUCCCUGCAUUCACAGAGUGGUCAGUGCCUCCAAGAGGAGCAGAGGGCGGAAGAAAGCAGAUGUUCCCAGAGUCGCCUGCUGCUGUGCCUGCACCCAUCCCGCCGCCAGCUCACAGGGACCAGCUCUCAUAGCCUCUGAACUAGUUCUCCUGCCUUCCGGCGGCCCUCCUCGAUCUAUCCCAUAGGCCUGCCUUCAUCACUCAUUCAUUCAUUCACACAUCAGUCAUUGGACACCUAACUGGGCCAGAUACUGUUGCAGGCACAGGGGACACAGCAAGAAUCACAUGGGGGAGCAGGGAGGAAUCUGUCCUUAGGAGGCUUACGUUCUAACGAUACUUCUCACGUGUCAUUCUCAUCUCAUGUCACUCCUCUAUACUCAAAAGUCCUCAAUGGCUCCCUAUGGCCAGCUGAAUAAAUAGUAAACUUCUUAAUGCAGACCUGGCCCUCCAGGCUCACACCUGCAUCCACUUGGUCAGUGUUAAGUUUCCUUCUUCACCAUCUAUGACCCAGUCAUGAGCGUUGGGCUUGCAAGCCCUGUGCUUGCCUAUCCACGAGACCUAAGAAGGAACUGGGAGUCAGGACAGAGAGCUCAAUGGUUUAAUGGAUGGGGGAGCUCCCUGUCUGAAGCAUGGUCCCUGGGGUGUCACCUCACUCUCUGCAGUGGAGGCUGGACAGGGCAUGGUGGCAGUCUUCACUCCUGGGGAGGGGAAGGUUACCAGUUACAGGGGGAAGUGACAUCAGGUGAACUCACAGUUACCAUGGAAACCAGCAGGGGGGCACGCCCCUCGCAGCCCUUUUGAUAAGCUCUUAUAUGGGAAAGAUGUUCUCUUUUUUUGUCUUUUUAGGGCCGCACCCGCGGCACACGGAGGUUCCCAGGCUAGGGGUCGAAUCGGAGCUGUAGCUGCUGGCCUACAUCAAAGCCACAGCAAUGCGGGAUCCGAGCCAUGUCUGUGACCUACACCACAGCUCAGGGCAAUGCUGGAUCACUUAACCCACUGAGUGAGGCCAAGGAUCAAACCCACAACCUCAUGGUUCCUAGUCAGAUUCGUUUCUGCUGCGCCACGACAGGAACUCCGAGAUGUUCUGAUCUAAAGGUCAGAACAGUCACUAGCUGGGACGGGGGCAAGUAUGUAGGAAGGUCGGUCAUGUGAGUAGGUGUAAGUGAAGCAGGCAGGGAUGGACAGAGAGCAAGAGGACAGCCAUGCUGGGUCGCCAUCUACCCACCCACUAAAAUCCAGCUUCAGAGUCAUCUCCUUGCAACCACUCAGCAGGAAUGAACCUCUCCUUCAUGUGAGUUCCCACAGCAAGAUCCCAGCAAGUUACAGUGAGGGUAAAUACCAGAGAUCAUCCAAACACCCAAAUCAACCCCUGAACAGUCCUAUUCUCCCGGGGCCUCAUUGCAUGUUAAGACUAAUUCAUUCAUACUGUGGUAAACAUGACUCAGGUUCCGUGAUGUGGGGCUUUAAAUAAAAUCUAUUGAGGGCCAAAAUGUGCACUACACACUUUUAUUUAUUUUAUCUGGUCCCUUCCUCUAUUUUCACUUCUAUACAGAUGAGGAAUCCAAACUCCGAGAGGUGAGGUCAUUUAUCCAAUAUCACACAGCUGGCCAAACUUCCCUUGCUCAUCAUUCCCACAGCCUACUCCCCCCCCCCACCUGUAGCAGGUGGAUCCUCCAGGACACAGUGGUGUACUGAAGGGGCUUGUGCAAAGUUACAGGAUAAACACUGGAUAUCCACCUGGGGCAUCCUUUUCACAUACUAGUAAGUCAUUUAAACACUAUUUGACAUCAAGAAUAUCUACAUUAAAACAGACCCAGAUGUUGCAUAUUAUGGGGUGGAAUUUUAAGAUUGCAUAAAUUUUAAAGAUGAAAUGCAAUGUCUUCAAUUGCAUUUUGCACCAGGGAAGGACUCUGAGCUGCACUCCAGCCCUCUCAGCUGGAACCCAUUCAGAGUCACAAGGACGACUUGGAUGGAAAAGCUCCCUCUAAUAUUGCAUUUUCCUUAGGGCAGAAACAUGGACAACAAUGGAUGAAGGCAGGUAGAAAAUAAGGACAAAGGCAGGACAAAGAAGUUUAAAAAUACAGACAUUCAGAGUUCCCUUUGUGGCACAGCGGAAACGAAUCCAAUUAGUAUUCAUGAGGAUGCAGGUUCGAUCCCUGGCCUCACUCAGUGGGUCAGGGAUCCAGCAUUGCCAUGAGCUGUGGUGUAGGCUGCAAAUGUGGCUUAGAUCCCAAGUUGCUGUGACUGUGGUGUAGGCUGGCAGCUGUAGCUCCGAUUGGACCCCUAGCCUGGGAACUUCCAUAUACUGCAGGUGCAGCCCUAAAAAUCAAAAGAUAAAAAUAAAAAUAAAAACCUAGACAUUCAAAGAAGUACUGAGGCCUGUGAGCAUCAGUGCUGAGACUAUGAGCCCUCCAUGCGUGUGGAGGAAGGGCAUGGUAAAAAGUCAUAUUCCUGAUACUGGGCCAUCCAAAACCAAACAGAAGGAGGACUCAGUGAUUUAUCGCAUUCUGUAUACU
rnacentral:lncRNA from 1 species